UGGGGAAUUUUGCACAAUGGGGGAAACCCUGAUGCAGCGACGCCGCGUGAUUUAGAAGGCCUUCGGGUUGUAAAAAUCUUUUCUAUGGGAAGAAAAUGACAGUACCAUAGGAAUAAGGACCGGCUAAUUACGUGCCAGCAGCCGCGGUAAUACGUAAGGUCCGAGCGUUGUCCGGAAUCAUUGGGCGUAAAGGGUACGUAGGCGGGUAAGCAAGUUAGAAGUGAAAUCCUAUAGCUCAACUAUAGUAAGCAUUUAAAACUGCUCAGCUUGAGGUAUGGAAGGGAAAGUGGAAUUCCUAGUGUAGCGGUGAAAUGCGCAGAUAUUAGGAAGAAUACCGGUGGCGAAGGCGACUUUCUGGCCAUAACCUGACGCUGAGGUACGAAAGCGUGGGUAGCAAACAGG
rnacentral:rRNA from 1 species